UCGAGAAUCUUCCGCAAUGGACGAAAGUCUGACGGAGCGACGCCGCGUGAUGGAUGAAGUCCCUCUGGGACGUAAACAUCUUUUAUGAGGGAGAAAGUUUAUUGAUAGUACCUCACGAAUAAGGGGUUGCUAAACUCGUGCCAGCAGCAGCGGUAAUACGAGUGCCCCGAGCGUUAUCCGGAAUCAUUGGGCGUAAAGGGUGUGUAGGUGGCAUUGUUAGUCACACGUUAAACCCUGGGGCUUAACCCCAGAUCUGCGUGUGAUACGGCAAAGCUAGAGGAUGGCAGGGAUGUAUGGAACUCAUGGAGUAGGGGUGAAAUCCGUUGAUAUCAUGGGGAACACCGAAAGCGAAGGCAGUACAUUGGGCCACUCCUGACACUGAAACACGAAAGCGUGGGUAGCGAAUGGGAUUAGAUACCCCGGUAGUCCCUGAGCGGGCUGGCAAGGCGCAU
rnacentral:rRNA from 1 species